rnacentral:lncRNA from 1 species
GUGUGGAACCUGGAAUUCAAACGGCUGGGUAGGAAGCACGCUAGCAGGGGCCUCUGGCCUUGCUGAGGGUCCCUGUUUCCCCUUUUCCUUCCUUUUCACCCAACAAAACCCUGCUUUACUCACCCUUCAAACCAUCUAUGAGCCUAAAUUGUCGUGGUCGUGGAAUGGACAAGGACCCAGUCUUUAGCUGAACUAAGGGAAAGUCCUGCUUUUUGGCGCGCAACAGGGGAGCUCAAGAAACAGGCCUCACUCACGGCAUAUGGAACUAACCACGCCCCUAACUAAGAAGGCACACCUUAGUUGCAGUUAGCACACAAUUAAAGCAACUCUCCAAGUUUUACCUUAAAGUUCAAAAUUGCUAGGAGUUGAAACUACUAGAAAUAUAUUUACAUGCAAGG